CUCUAAUGCAGUGGUUCUCAAACUUCCUUAUGCCGCGACUCUUUAAUACAGUUCCUCAUGUUGUGGUGACCCCCAAUCAUAAAAUUAUGGCUUGGUUCCUAAGACCAUUGAAAAUAUGUGUUUCCGAUGGUCUCAGGCGACCCCUGUGAAAGGGUUGUUUGACCCCCAAAGAGGUUGCGACCCACAGGUUGAGAACCACUGCUCUAAAUCAUACUGUCU